rnacentral:lncRNA from 1 species
AUGCGUCUCGCCUCCUCCCCACCUCGCGGCCGGCAGCAGCCCUCCAGGUUUGGCUCCAUGGAUUGAUUCUCUCAGAGCAGCUGCUCGGGGCCGACCUACACCAGGCCUGCCGACGUCUCCCCUGGGAGCCUCCCUGGCCCGGGCCAGACAUCCGGCACCCGGAGCCCCGUCAGGCGGUCAGCAUCAAGGAGGCUAGGUCCUCAAAUCGGCCUGCGCCGGAGAGGACAGUGGCUGCCUUCACCAUGGGGCAGGUCGACGCCUUGGAGGGCGUCUUCCGGCACCACCAGUACCUGGGCCCUCUGGAGCCGGCAAAUGCAGGACUCCCAGCUGCACAGCCCCUUCUCGGGGUCUCUCCACGCGCCCCCGGCUUUUCACUCACCGUCUUCUGGCCUUGCCAAUGGCCUGCAGCUGCUAUGCCCUUGGACACCCCUGCCCAGGCCCCAGGCUCUGAUGCUGCCCCCUGGCUCCUUCUGGGGUCUCUGCCAAGUGGAACAAGAGGCCCUAGCCUCUGCGUGGGCUUCCUGCUACGGGCAUCCUCCGCCGCCGGCGUACCACUCCCCAAGCCCAGGAAGUGGCGUGCAUACGCUGGGACCAGCCCUCUCCAGGGGGCCGUGGGGCUUGUGUGUUCUUCUGGAGACCGGGGGGAUGCAUUUUGA